rnacentral:rRNA from 1 species
GAUGAACGCUAGCGGCAGGCCUAAUACAUGCAAGUCGAACGGGAUCCAGAUCAAAGCUUGCUUUGGUCUGGUGAGAGUGGCGCACGGGUGCGUAACGCGUGAGCAACCUACCCUUGUCAGGGGGAUAGCCCGGCGAAAGUCGGAUUAAUACCGCAUGACAUCAUUGAGAGGCAUCUUUCGAUGAUCAAAGAUUUAUCGGACAAGGAUGGGCUCGCGUGACAUUAGCUAGUUGGUAAGGUAACGGCUUACCAAGGCUGCGAUGUCUAGGGGCUCUGAGAGGAGAAUCCCCCACACUGGUACUGAGACACGGACCAGACUCCUACGGGAGGCAGCAGUAAGGAAUAUUGGUCAAUGGACGGAAGUCUGAACCAGCCAUGCCGCGUGCAGGAGGACGGCCCUAUGGGUUGCAAACUGCUUUUAUACGGGAACAAACGUCGGUACGUGUACCGGUCUGAGUGUACCGUAAGAAUAAGGAUCGGCUAACUCCGUG